rnacentral:rRNA from 1 species
UGAUCCCAUCCCGAACUCAGAAGUGAAACGCAAUCGCGCCGAUGGUAGUGUGGGGUCUCCCCAUGUGAGAGUAGGUCAUUUCCAGGC